GGUUUUAUAGUUUAAUUAAAAAUUUUAAAUUGCAAAUUUAAUGAUGAUGUUAAUAAUCUAAAACUU